rnacentral:rRNA from 1 species
AGAGGUCAGGCUGGAGACCUUACCGGAUUAGCUGAGAGGUGGUGCAUGGCCGUCGUCAGUUCGUACUGUGAAGCAUCCUGUUAAGUCAGGCAACGAGCGAGACCCACGUCCACAGUUGCCAGCAUACCCUCCGGGGUGAUGGGUACACUGUGGAGACCGCCGCUGCUAAAGCGGAGGAAGGAAUGGGCAACGGUAGGUCAGUAUGCCCCGAAUCUCCCGGGCUACACGCGGGCUACAAUGGUUGGUACAAUGGGUAUCUACCCCGAAAGGGGACGGGAAUCUCCUAAAACCAAUCUUAGUUCGGAUUGAGGGCUGCAACUCGCCCUCAUGAAGCUGGAAUCCGUAGUAAUCGCGUUUCAACAGAACGCGGUGAAUACGUCCCUGCUCCUU